GUGUCAGCCGCCGCGGUAAUACGUAGGGGGCAAGCGUUGUCCGGAUUUAUUGGGCGUAAAGAGCUCGUAGGCGGCUCGGUAAGUCGGAUGUGAAACCUCCAGGCUCAACCUGGAGACGCCAUCUGAUACUGCCGUGGCUUGAGUCCGGUAGAGGAGCAGGGAAUUCCUGGUGUAGCGGUGAAAUGCGCAGAUAUCAGGAGGAACACCAGCGGCGAAGGCGCUGCUCUGGGCCGGUACUGACGCUGAGGAGCGAAAGCGUGGGGAGCGAACAGGAUUAGAUACCCCCGUAGUCC
rnacentral:rRNA from 1 species